UAUUAGAUGACUGAAAAAUAAGUAUAAACCUUUUAAGUUUAGUAUGGUUUACACCUCUAAUUA
rnacentral:tRNA from 1 species